GACGAACGCUGGCGGCGUGCUUAACACAUGCAAGUCGAACGAUGAAGCUGAAGCUUUUGUUUUGGUGGAUUAGUGGCGAACGGGUGAGUAAUACGUGAGUAACCUGCCCUUGUCUUUGGGAUAAGCCUGGGAAACUGGGUCUAAUACCGGAUAUUCUGCUUCUGCCGCAUGGUGGGGGGUUGGAAAGAUUUUUUCUGGUGGGGGAUGGGCUCGCGGCCUAUCAGCUUGUUGGUGGGGUGAUGGCCUACCAAGGCUUUGACGGGUAGCCGGCCUGAGAGGGUGGACGGCCACACUGGGACUGAGACACGGCCCAG
rnacentral:rRNA from 1 species